CUACCAUGCAGUCGACGAUGACGGUGGUGCUUGCACUGCCUGAUUAGUGGCGAACGGGUGAGUAACACGUGAGUAACCUGCCCCCCACUCUGGGAUAACCUCGGGAAAUCGGGGCUAAUACCGGAUAUGAAUUGUCACCGCAUGGUGGUGGUUGGAAAGUUUUUCGGUGGGGGAUGGGCUCGCGGCCUAUCAGUUUGUUGGUGAGGUAGUGGCUCACCAAGGCGAUGACGGGUAGCCGGCCUGAGAGGGCGACCGGCCACACUGGGACUGAGACACGGCCCAGACUCCUACGGGAGGCAGCAGUGGGGAAUAUUGCACAAUGGGCGAAAGCCUGAUGCAGCGACGCCGCGUGAGGGAUGACGGCCUUCGGGUUGUAAACCUCUUUCAGUAGGGAAGAAGCGAAAGUGACGGUACCUGCAGAAGAAGCGCCGGCUAACUACGUGCCAGCAGCCGCGGUAAUACGUAGGGCGCAAGCGUUGUCCGGAAUUAUUGGGCGUAAAGAGCUUGUAGGUGGCUUGUCGCGUCUGCCGUGAAAACCCGAGGCUCAACCUCGGGCGUGCGGUGGGUACGGGCAGGCUAGAGUGUGGUAGGGGAGACUGGAACUCCUGGUGUAGCGGUGAAAUGCGCAGAUAUCAGGAAGAACACCGAUGGCGAAGGCAGGUCUCUGGGCCAUUACUGACACUGAGAAGCGAAAGCAUGGGGAGCGAACAGGAUUAGAUACCCUGGUAGUCCAUGCCGUAAACGUUGGGCACUAGGUGUGGGGAGCAUUCCACGUUUUCCGCGCCGUAGCUAACGCAUUAAGUGCCCCGCCUGGGGAGUACGGCCGCAAGGCUAAAACU
rnacentral:rRNA from 1 species